rnacentral:lncRNA from 10 species
AAUAAGUAAUUUUUAAAAAAAGAAAGAGAGCAAAAACUCAAACAGAUACUUGCAAACCAAUGUUCAUAGCAGCAUUAUUCACAAUAAUCAAAAGGUAGGAACAACCCAAAUGCCCAUUGAUAGAUACAUGGAUAAACAAAAUGUGAUUUAGCCAUGCAACAGAAUAUUGUUCAGCCUCAGGAAGGAAUGAAAUUGUGACACAUGCUAUGACAUAGAUGAACUUUGAAGACUUUAUAUUAAAUGAAUUAAGCCAGACACCAAAGGACAACUAUUAUUUGAUUUCACUUACAGGAGGUCCAUCAAGUAGUCAGAUACAGGAGGAGAGCCCGCGGGUGCAAGACUGCCUGUGGCAGUCCCGGGAAUGGCUGCUGCUCUGUCUCCGCUGCCUCCCUUUUGCAAGAAUCUCUUCAGUAGCCAGGUGUCCCCAAGACAAAGCUCAAAUUCUGUGAUCCACUGGAAGGACUCCUGGAACUCAGAAGAGCCACUGGGCUCGUGGUUAUGGUUUGUUGCAGUAAAAGGAUACAAGCAUUACUUUGUUUUUGUUUUUUGAGACAGAGUCUCACUCUGUCACCCAGACUGGAGUGCAGUUGGUGCGAUUCGGCUCACUGUAACCUCUGCCACCCGGGUUCAAGCGAUUCUUGUGCCUCAGCCUCUCGAGUAGCUGGGAUUACAGGCAUGCACCGCCACACCUGGUUAAUUUUUGUAUUUGUAGUAGAGACGGGGUUUCACCAUGUUAGCCAGGGUGGUCUCGAACCCCUGGCCUCAAGUGAUCCGCCUGCCUCAGCCUCCAAAAGUGCUGGGAUUACAGGCGUGAGCCACCGCACCCAGGCAGGCUAGCAUUGAUUUUUGUUCCAAUAGCUACUUAGGCUCACUGUUAAUGUGGCUUUUGUUGCUUUUUACUGGCUGUUUGCUUCUCAUAAGUACCAUAGAGGACUUUCUAUGUGCUUGUAUAAUAAAUCUUAUAAAUCCAGUCUAAAAAAAUUAUGUUUUUUAUAGUUUGCCUUGGUAAUUCUCGAGAAAGAAAAAAAAGGAAGAAAUUUACAUUCCCUCUAAAAAAGGAAUUGGAUCAUUAUGGACUGCGUGACUUAAAGCUACCAUUUAUUAGUAGUCUUCUACGUGCCAGGUACUUUACAUACUUUUUUCCUAAUCUUCAAACAACUCUGCAAAGUAGGCAGUACAGGUCCUGUCUUAGCCUUCUAUUGCUAGGCAGCCAACGUUCCCGACGGGUAUAGGACUGAGGUUCCUGCUUUCUUGCUGGUUGUCAGCUGGGGCUGCUCUAAGCUCCUAGAGGCUGCCUAUCAUUCUCUGCUGUGUGGUUUUCUCCACAGCAAGGCAGUUUGCUUCUUCAGUCCUAGUACUUUGGGAGGCUGAGGGAGAAGGGUCGUUUGAGAUCAGGAGUUUGAGAGCAGCCUGGGCAACAUAGUGAGACCCCAUCUCUAAAUAAAUAAAUAAAUAAGUGCCAUCAGGAGAAUAUUCCUGACUCCCAUUUGUCUGUGACUUCUGGACCCUCUUUCAAAGACUCACCUGACUAGGCCAGGUCCACCCAGGAUAACCUCCCCUUCAUUAACUCAGAACCAACUCAUUGGAUACUCUAAUGGCAGAAUCCCUUCACCUUGGCCAUACAAUGAAAGAUAAUCAUGGCUGUGAUGUCCCACCAUAUUCACAGGUCCCAUCACCCUCACGGCAGGCGGUUAUCCAGGGCGUGUAUACCAGGUGAAAGGCCUAGGACUCUGUCCACCACAAGCCCUGCUUUAUAAGUCAUGAGUUACCUGUCUAAAGUCCCAUGGGUGACAGAUAGUGACACUGGACCUUCCCUCAAGCAAAGCGUCCUGAGCCCACCUUGGGGAGAAAUAACCCUCUCUGGACAAGUCCAAGUUUAUUCUUACACAUCACAGCUCUGUUCUAACAGCAAACUUCACAAUCUUAAAAUGAACCCUUUCUGAGGUCUUCUGGAGCACCUGCAUUUCCUGAGUACUUUACUACAUGUCAAAUUCACUGCGGCUCAAUCCAGACCCAGAUUCCCCUAGGAGUGCCCCCUCGGUGCACGUCAACCAACUCUGAGCCUGUGCCAUCAAUUACCCAGAAACCAGCUGACAAAAAUGACUAAUAACGGCAUGCACACAAGGGAACAGUUCUCCUGACUCGAUUCUAUUUCCUCUCUCUCUGCCCCCACUCUGUCUUUGCCCAGGCAUCACACCAUUGCUCACAAAGCUUCGCCACCUGGACAGUUUCCCACUCAGCUUGUGAUAAUCCUUCUCUUGCCUGGCCUGGGCCUCACCCAGAUUAAGCACUCAAGAAAAAUCUUGGAUUGAACUCUUCUUGCUUGGUAAUAAGCACAUUUUAGACUACCUUUAUCUUUUCCCCCAAAGUUUCAAGUGCUCGGGGUGCUUAACUGAUGUUUGAUGUGUGCAGAGCUGUGUGCAUUUAGUCCCUCAGUUUCUCCCCAGGUGAGCCUGCAGAGAGAGUGUCUCUACUCAUUGGCUCAGACACUUCCCUCUUUUCUCUACCCAGGUAGCAACAUGCUGAGCUUUUCCUACUCUAGAGAGCACAGUGCAAGAAACUCCAGUCUGUCAGGCACCUACUAAAUGUCAUAUCCGUAUACGUGCAAUGAUCUAUCACCUUUUAUAGUUGUAGAAUCUGAGGCUCAGAGAGAUCAGAUAGCUUGUCUGAGGUCAUACUGCUGUUGGUAUUGCAGCUAGGAGUUGAACUCAAGACUGUGUUUUGGCAAAGCUGUCCUCUUUCCAUACUUACUGUUAAACGUUUUGUUGUGUUUUCUUAAACCAAGUAUAGUCCCAACAACUUUGAACAGCGUUUGGUAGGUAAAAGCUUUAAGGGGAUCUUUUAGGGUGUUAAUGAGACUUCUUAACAGAUAUGCAUUUCUCAAACGUGACAACGUAACAUUCAUAUUAAAUGUAAAGCUUGGUAUUUCUAUAGAAUUUUUCAUACAUUUCUGCAUCUUAGUGCAUGUAUUUGCCUGAGAUAUAUUAGUCUUUCAGGA